rnacentral:tRNA from 1 species
GGGAAUGUGGCUUAGUGGUACAGUGCUUGCCUAGCAUGCAUGAAGCCCUGGUUCAAUUCCUCAGUACCA